UAAUUAUUUACUGCAGAGGGGGUUCCGUGGACCAGCCUAUUAGAGGGGCACGGUAAACUCUAUUAUAUUAUUACCUCGAACGGAGAGGCACGUAGGGUAUCUCCUGGGGUAAAGCUUAGGGUUCACUUCACGCCAAACCACCACGUGAAGGGAACUCAGCCAACGCCAAAGAACGGCUGUAUUUUUCUCAAACUAAAAAUAUAUUUUAAGUGUAUACAAAAUUUUAACAGCCUUGGCGGACUCGAUUGGAUGCCCUGCGCAAGGUAUCACCGAGUAUGAGUUUUGGCACGAGCCAAAGUUUUAAGAAAUUCAUAAGCCAAG
rnacentral:lncRNA from 1 species